rnacentral:rRNA from 1 species
CGCGUAGGCGGCUUGGUAAGGGGGCGGUGAAAGCCCGGGGCUCAACCCCGGGUCUGCCGGACCGACUGCUGAGCUUGAGCACACUAGGGGCAGGUGGAAUUCCGGGUGUAGCGGUGGAAUGCGUAGAGAUCUGGAAGAACACCGGUGGCGAAGGCGGCCUGCCGGGGUGUGGCUGACGCUGAGGCGCGACAGCGUGGGGAGCAAACAGGAUUAGAUACCCUGGUAGUCCACGCCGUAAACGAUGGGCACUAGGUGCUCGGGGGAGCGACCCUUCGGGUGCCGGCGCUAACGCAUUAAGUGCCCCGCCUGGGGAGUACGGCCGCAAGGCUGAA